rnacentral:tRNA from 1 species
GCCAGUGUGGUGCAGUGGAUUGAAUGUUGGACUAGGACUCUGGAGACCAAGGUUUGAAACAUGGCUUGGCCA